AUCUUAACAAUUGAAGAGAAAGCUUAAUGACAAAUGAAUCAUAUACACAAUUAUUUUGAUAAAUAAGAUAUCACUACGGUUUUUAAUUCCAGAAGGAACUAAAGUGAUGUCAUGCAUAUAUUUGUUUAUCAUAUUACCCAUAGUCAGAGACUUUAGAGCAUCUCUAACCCAUCGCCCAAACUAAGUUCCUAAAAUCUUUCUUUUGCUAUUUCUAUUAACCUCUUGCCUGUGAAUUCCAUUUCAACUUAUUUUUACACAACAUAGUAAUUCGAAACUUCACAUGUCCCAACAAUAUUUCAAAUUAAACUUCCAAGUGACGUGAGUAGUAGUUUUGGUGCACACGACACGUGCGGCAAGCAUAAGAGAUCGACUCAAUUACAUGUGUGCAACCACACUAGCUAAAUAAAAAGUUGAUGCAUAAGAGAUAGACUCAAUUAGUUGACUAAUUAAUCAACCACGUACAGAAAGACAACCUAACCGAUAACACGGGAUGUAUCAUCAUCACUUACUAUAGAUAUAUAGUUGCUACUUUACGCUACCCGAUAUGAUAUGUUAAGUUAAUCACGUACCAAUCAUUUAUCCCAUGAUCCAUAAAGAAACGGUUCAUAAAUAUUAUUUUAAUUACAUGAUCCACAUAUUAGAAGUAUAACCAGUUGAAUCAAAAGGUUCAGCUCGUUCCUCCAUCUUCUUGGAUCUUUGCGGCUUGCACCGAAAAUGGCAACCGGUGCCAGAACGAUUGAAUGAAAAGUAGUCAAUUGAAUGGGAAGAACGCCAAAAAUAGCUUUACAUACUUAACUAUGCAGCUCUUCUUUGGAGAGCAGUCAUGUAUACUUUACCUAUUAAGUACAUUUUCUUGUGAACCCAUUUUCUUCAACCUCAAGGCAGUAAGAUAUAUGUAAUCAAUGCUAAAUAAGUAGUGUGAGUCGCACUAGCCCCGGAUAAAAAUUAGUGAUUGCAUAGCAAAUA
rnacentral:lncRNA from 1 species